rnacentral:rRNA from 1 species
CAGUUCGGAUUGUAGGCUGCAACUCGCCUACAUGAAGUUGGAAUCGCUAGUAAUCGCGAAUCAGAAUGUCGCGGUGAAUACGUUCCCGGGUCUUGUACACACCGCCCGUCACACCAUGGGAGCUGGUAACACCCGAAGUCGGUAGUCUAACCGCAAGGAGGACGCUGCCGAAGGUGGGAUUAGCGACUGGGGUGAAGUCGUAACAAGGUAGC